UACGGAGGAUGCGAGCGUUAUCCGGAUUUAUUGGGUUUAAAGGGUGCGCAGGCGGCACGGCAAGCCGGCGGUCAAAUCGCGGGGCUCAACCCCGCCCGGCCGUCGGAACUGCCGGGCUAGAGUGGGCGAGAAGUGCGCGGAAUGCGUGGUGUAGCGGUGAGAUGCAUAGAUAUCACGCAGAACUCCGAUUGCGAAGGCAGCGCACCGGCGCCCUACUGACGCUCAGGCACGAAAGCGUGGGUAUCGAACAGG
rnacentral:rRNA from 1 species